rnacentral:rRNA from 1 species
UACGUAGGGUGCGAGCGUUGUCCGGAAUUAUUGGGCGUAAAGAGCUUGUAGGCGGUCUGUCGCGUCUGCUGUGAAAACUCGGGGCUCAACCCCGAGACGUCGGUGGAAACCACCUGGCUAGAGUCCGGAAGAGGAGAGUGGAAUUCCUGGUGUAGCGGUGAAAUGCGCAGAUAUCAGGAAGAAUAUCCGUGGCGAAGGCGGCUCUCUGGGACGGUACUGACGCUGAGACGCGAAAGCGUGGGGAGCGAACAGG